CCUACGGGAGGCAGCAGUGGGGAAUAUUGGACAAUGGGGGCAACCCUGAUCCAGCGACGCCGCGUGUGUGAAGAAGGCCUGCGGGUUGUAAAGCACUUUUAGUGGGGAUGAAAAGCCGGAGGUUAAUACCUUCCGGUCUUGACCUAACCCAAAGAAAAAGCACCGGCUAACUCUGUGC
rnacentral:rRNA from 1 species